GUCAAACACCCGGCUCUCCUCUCCACCAGGCUCCCACGCCCACCACACAGCCUGUAGCCCCGGCGGAGCUAUGGGCUCUGACUCCGCCUCUUUCCAAAUCCGGAGUAGUUCGUGCCACAGUCGUCCUCGGAACCCUGUGGCCCCUUCCUCACCCGUUUCAGGGCCACUUGGUUCCCACCUCCACCUUCUUAGUCUGCCUGCCCUGCUUUCCAUCUUCUUGGAAUUCGCCUUGCUGCCGCCCCGCGCCCACCCCCGCGCCCACCCCUGCCCCUGCACCGUCCCAUGCCCUUAUGGAUUUAUUCUUUACACGUAAAUAUGUCUUUCCUCUUUUUGAAAGGAUUUGGAGUUGGAACAGAGAAAUUCACUAUGGAUGAUGCUAUAUCUUUAUAUGACCUUUGGAAUAUCUGUAAUCAUCCUGAGGGCAAUACUUAUGUAAUGAAGAUGGAAGAAGAGAGAAUAUGAAUACUCCGUGCACUUUGAUCUUAUCGUUUAGCUGCUGAUCAUACCAUCCCUGGAGUCCUACUUCUGACUCCAAGUUAUGAGAUGGAAUCUUGCUCUGUCAUCCAGGCUGGAGUGCAAUGGUGCGAUCUCAGCUCACUGCAACCUCCACCUCUUGAGUUCAAGCGAUUAUCCUGCCUCAGCCUCCUGAGUAGCUGGGAUUACAGGGGCAUGGAUAAAGCUGGAAGCCAUCAUUCUCAGCAAACUAACACGGGAACAGGACACCAAACACCACAUGUUCUCAUUCGUAAGUGGGAGUAGAACAAUAAGAACACAUGGACACAGAGAGGGGCACAACACACUCUGAAACCUGUCAGGUGGUGGGGGCAAGGGGAAGGAGAGCAUCAGGACAAAUAGCUAAAAACCUAGAUGACAGGUUGUUGGGUACAGCAAACCACCAUGGCACUCAUAUAUAUAUAUAUAUAUAUAUAUAUAUACCUGCACGUUCUGCUCAUGUAUCCCAAAACAUAAAGUAACAACAACAACAAUAACAAAAUGCUUUAUGUAGGGGAGAAGUGUGUACGCGUAUGUGUGUGUGUAGUGUCACUGUUCAAAUGAAAAUCAGAAACGAAAAUCCAUUGGUGGGAUUUUCUGAGCCAUUUUAAAAUAAAUUUACAUUUUUUUUAAAUUUUGUUUUUCUGUAAGUUAUUGGGGUACAGGUGGUUUUUGGUUACAUGAGUAAGUCAUUUAGUGGUGAUUUGUGAAAUCCUGGUGCACCCAUCACCCGAGCAGUAUAUACUGCACCAUAUAUGUUGUCUUUUCUCUCUUUUGCCCCUCUCCCAUGCUUCUCCACAAGUCCCCAAAGCCCACUGUAUCAUUCUUAUGCCUUUGUGUCCUCAUAGCUUAGCUCCCACAUAUCAGUGAGAACAUACAAUGUUUGGUUUUCCAUUCCUGAGUUAUUUCACUUAGAAUUAUAGUCUCCAAUCUCAUCCAGGUCAUUGCAAAUGCUAUUAAUCAUUCCUUUUUAUGGCUUAGUAGUAUUCUAUUAUAUAUAUACGUAUAUGUAUAUAUAUAUAUAUACGUAUAUGUAUAUAUAUAUAUAUACGUAUAUGUAUAUAUAUAUAUACGUAUAUGUAUAUAUAUGUAUAUGUAUAUAUAUGUAUAUAUAUACGUAUAUAUAUAUACGUAUAUAUAUAUACGUAUAUAUAUAUACCAAAGUUUAUCCAUUUGUUGAUUGAUGGGCAUUUGGGUUGGUUGCACGAUUUUGCAAUUGUUAAUUGUGCCGCUAUAAACAUGCGUGUGCAAGUAUCUUUUUCGAAUAAUAACUUCUUUUUUUCUGGGUAGAUACCCAGUUGUGGGAUUGCUGGAUCAAAUGGUAGUUCUACUUUUAGGUCUUUAAGGAAUCUCCACACUGUUUUCCAUAGCAGCUGCACUAGUUUACAUUUCCACUAGCAAUGUAGAAGAAGUGUUCCCUGAUCACCUCAUUUACACCAACAUCUACUGUUUUUUGAUUUUUUUAUUAUGGCCAUUCUUUCAGGAAUAAGGUGGUAUCGCAUUGUGGUUUUGAUUUGCAUUUCCCUGAUCAUUAGUGAUGUUGAACAUUUUUUCAUGUGUUUGUUGGCCAUUUGUAUAUCUUCUUUUAAGAAUUGUCUAUUCAUGUCCUUAGCCCACUUUUUGAUGGGAUUGAUUGUUUUUUUCCUUACUGAUUUGUUUGAGUUCGUUGUAGAGUCUGGAUAUUAGUCCUUUGUCAGAUGUAUAGAUUGUGAAGAUUUUCUCCCACUCUGUGUUGUCUGUUUACUUUGACGACUGUUUUUUUUUUUUUGUCAUUCAAAAGCUAUUUUGUUGAAUUAGGUCCCAGCUAUUUAUCUUUCUUUUUAUUGCAUUUGCUUUUGGGUUUUUGGUCAUAAAAUUAUUGCCUAAGCCAAUGUCUAGAAAGGUUUUUCCAGUGUUAUCUUCUAGAGUUUUUAUAGUUUUAGGUCUUAGGUUUAAGUCUUUAAUCCAUCCUGAGUUGAUUUUUGAAUAAGGUGAGAGAUGAGGAUCCAGUUUCAUUCUGCCACAUGUGGCUAGCCAAUUUUCCCAGAACUAUUUGUUGAAAAGGGUGUCUUUUCCCCACUUUAUGCUUUUAUUUGCUUUGUCGAACAUCAGUUGGCUGUAAGCAUUUUGGUUUAUUUCUGGGUUCUUAUUCUGUUCCAUUGGUCUAUGUGCCUAUUUUUAUACCAGUACCAUGCUGUUUUGGUGACUAUGGCCUUAUAGCAUAGUUUGAAAUCAGGUAGUGUGAUGCCUGCAGAUUUGUUCUUUUUGCUUAGUCUUGCUUUGUCUAUAUGGGCUCUUUUUUGUUUCCAUAUGAAUUUUAGAAUUGUUUUUUCUAAUGCUGUGAAGAAUGAUGGUGGUAUUUUGAUGGAGAUUGCAUUGAAUUUGUAGAUUGCUUUUGGCAGUAUGGUCAUUUUUACAAUAUUGAUUCUACCCAUUUAUGAGCAUGGCAUGUGUUUCCAUUUGUUUGUGUCAUCUAUGAUUUCUUUCAGCAGUGUUUUAUAGUUUUCCUUGAUUUGAUUCUCCACUUGGUCACUGUUGGUGUACAGAAAAGCUACUGAUUUGUGUACAUUAAUCUUGUAUCCAGAAACUUUGCUGAAUUAUUUUAUCAGUUCUAGGAGCUUUCUGGAGGAGUCCUUAGGAUUUUCAAGGUAAAUGAUUAUAUCAUUAGUAAACAGGGACAGUUUGAGUUCCUCUUUACUGAUUUGGAUGCCUUUUAUUUAUUUCUCUUGUCUGAUUGCUCUGGCUAGAUCUUCCAAUACUAUGAUGAAGAGGAGUGGUGAUAUAGUGACAGUCCUUGUCUUGUUUCCAUUCUCAGAGGGAAUGCUUUCAACUUUUCCCCAUUCAGUAUUUUGUUGACUCUGGGUUUGUCAUAGAUGUCUUUUACUACAUUAAGGUAUGUCCCUUGUAUGCCAAUUUUGCUGGGGGUUUUAAUCUAAAGCGAUGCUGGAUUUUGUCAAAUGCUUUUUCUGCAUCUAUUGAGAUGAUCAUGUGAUUUUUGUUUUAAAUUCUGUUUAUAUGGUGUAUCACAUUUAUUGAGUUGCAUAUCUUUAACCACCCCUGCAUCCCUGGUAUGAAACCCACUUGAUUGUGGUGGAUUACCUUUUAGAUAUGUUGUUGGAUUCAGUUAGCUAGUAUUCUGUUAAGGACUUUAGCAUCUAUGUUCAUCAAGGAUAGUGGUCUGUAGUUUUCCUUUUUGGUUAUGUUCUCUCCUGGUUUUGGUAUUAGGGUGAUGCUGGCUUCAGAGAAUGAAUUAGGGAGGGUUCCUUCUCUAUAUAUCUUGUGGAAUAAUGUCCACAGGAUUGGUACCAGUUCUUCCUUGAAUGUAUGGUAGAAUUCUGCUGUGAAUCUGUUUGGUCCUGGACUUUUUUUAUGUUGGUAAUUUUUAAAUUAUCAUUUAAAUCUCGCUGCUUGUUAUUGGUCUCUUCAGGGUAUCUACUUCUUGCUGAUUAAGCUAGGUGUAAGAUUGUCCCCAUGGCCUGAAAGCUUAAGGAGAUAUAUAACUCCUCGCUUCUCAGGCCCAGUCCCAAGGCGCAAGGCCACUUGCGUCAGCAGUGUGUGCGGCAGCAUGCACCAGCAAGAUAGCAGAGGCAGAAAAAUAGCCAGUCAGAAGACACCUACCCCUGAAGAUUGAGAAAGAGGCCAUAUGGGUAAAACAUAGCAGUUACGUCAGACUAGGACACUUCCUGUUUACAGGAGACUGUAAAACAUUUGUCCCAUCCUCACUUGGUGCUAACGCCAUUUUAAGCCUCAGCCCGCCUGCACCCAGGCACUCAUUAAGACAGCAUGUUGCUCCACACUGCCUCGUGUUGUCUGUUGGUGCACUCUCGGGGUUCAAACUGUUACAAGAACCUUAUAUUUUGGUGCUGAAAUCUGGGAGGGGCUCAGGUCUGCAUCCCCCAUGGACCUAGCCCUCCACCCCAAAGAGCAGGCCACAGCAGCUGGACAAAGGAAGGUCCUCAGCCUCCAGUCGCCUCUCUGUGCAUGCAGUCGGUCACUGAUCUCGCCUACUGGCACAGACGUGUUUCCAGACAAUCCAGAUGAUGCUUCUGCUACAGCGACAUGUUCUGCUAUGGAAGAAGCAACAUCUAAGAUGACGGAAAUUAUUUCAGAGCCCACAGUUACACUGGAAAAUGAGGUAAAAAAAAAAUAGAAUUCUGCUCACUACCUUACAGAAAAACAAGCCAGACAAAAGGGUGGAAUGGUUAAGAGACAGUGUUGACAAUGAGCACUUGGACUAUCGCUCAUCUAAAUGCUGCUGCAUUUAUCAAAAGCCUCAUGCCUUUGGUGAAAGCUCCUCAGAGAGUGAAAAAGAGGAUGAAGAAAAUUGUAAUUUCAUGCUAUAUUUCUGGGGUCAUCACAAUGGACGGCAUCAUUCCCUUCCCAAUAGGGCUUCUAGUACUUUAUCUAAAAAACCUUGAGACACAUCUCAUCCUCUUCCUUCACCCAUGAAGGGCUAAGCUUACUUUGCUUCCCCCAUCCCUGAAUGAGACUGGACUAAAAUAUAUCCACGUUGCUAUUCAGGGAUUAAACAUAUUUUGAAUCUUUUUUGAUGUGUGUUCUAUCUCUCUUCUGUCUGAUGGAAAGGGUAGCAAUGAAGGAAGACAAGGGGAGAGAAACAAAGGGAUCAAUAGAAUACCUGGAAGCCCUGGUACUGCAUGACUACUAUUCUACAAUACACAUGUCACAUGUAUAUUCUUGUCUUUUUUAGAGAUCUGGAAUAACUUCUCCUAUAUUUUCUUGGCUAGUCUAUUAUCAUGACACCAAACCCCCACUUUCCACAGAGCUACCAUUUUCUCUAUACUUGUUACCCAUAAUAGUUUCUAUCAUCUAAUGAGUACCAGAUUAUUCUUUACCAUUAAUUGGAAGCUUUGUAAUCUUGUCACCUGAUAUUUACCCAUUACACUUUAUUCUUGCUUUUAUCCUGGGUGAUUUCAAUAUCCCUGUAGAUAAGAUUUCAUAUAAACUAGGUAUUUCUCCUCUACUUUUAUUUAGGAACCCCACAGCCAUAGUCAUACCAUGAAGCUAAUGAGCACUAGUACUAUUCCACAUCUAAGUUUUAUAAUUAGGGAUCUUAUUUUCUCAUCCCAAACUCCUAUCUUUUGACUUCUGUCUCAUACUCGCUUACAACACUAUUUUGUGAAUUCAUGGAGACUCCUAGUCACCCAAAUUUGUGCUGACCUCUCAAUCAGUCAACCUUCUGGGUAUAACUUCUUUUCCACCCAAACUUCUGACCCAUCAACAGCAUUCUUUCCCGUGUUCUUACUUCUUCACUCUUUUGUGAAACCUCUCUUGCCAAUUCCAAAUUAUGACAUGUGACUCAGGAAAACUAAAAUGAAGUGUUUGUGGACUUGGGGAAAGGUGGUAUCAAAGAAACAUCAGGAAACUAUCAAGAGGUAGAAUAGUAGUUUAAAUUUAUUACAUGUUUUGUGUGUGCCUAGCAUUUUCUUCAAGGCUUUAUGUAUAAUAACCCAGGAAUUCUGGGAAAGUCUCAGUCUUUAUCUCUUCAAAUAUAUUCUGCUUCAUUCUCUUUUUCCUAUUUCUUUGAGACUCCAAUUUAAACCUAUGUUACACUUCCUUCUAUAUUUGUUAAUAUUAUCUUUAUUUUUCUGUCUCUUUUAAACAUCAUUUGGAUCAUUUCUUCUUAUCAGCAUUUAGUUCACCAAUAUAGCUUGAUUUAUAUCUAAAAAGCUAUUAAACCCAUCCACUUAAUUUUGUUUCCUUAUACUCUUCAGUCCUAGAAUUUCAACUUAGUACUUUUUCCCAAUUGUUAGAUCCCUUAUUAUGAGGACCUGAAUAAUUCAAAUUCUCUGUAAGAAACUUUUGGCUUGACUUUGAUUUCCUUGCACAUACUAAGCAUAAUUAUUUUAUAACUUGUGUCUGAUAAUUGUAGUAUUUACAAUCCUGGUGAAUUUGUUUCCAUUGUCUGAUUUUCUCUCCUAGUUCUUGCUCAUAGUUUCUUGUUUUCUUGCUUUUGUGCUUUUUUUAUUCCUUGAUUAUAUGCUAUACUCUAUUUUAAAUAUUAUUUGUAGAAAUUUGAGGUCGAGGAUAAUGAUAUCUUCCUCCAAAGGAAGUGUGUGUGUGUGUGUGUGUGUGUGUGUGUGUGAGUGUGUGUGUGUUUCUAUGGGUUUCUGAGGUCAGUAGAAAUCCGGGAUUAUCUUAAUCCAAAUUUAGAGUUUAGUAUUUUUGAGGAUUCCAAAAUUAACUAAAGUUGGGUUGUAGCUCAUUACAGCUUCCGUUUGGUUCAAUUCACUUUUAUUCAUGAUUUUCUGGCCAUUAUAGGUCAAGAUCAAAACUACCCACUCUUGGUAGACUGAGGACUAUGAAUUUUAUCUUCCUAGCACAAUGAAGUCACCAAAAGUACAGAUCUUCCUCUCACGCAUUACUUUAGACUCAGCAAAUAUUCCUUUCCCCCAGAGAAAAAUAGGUUCCAUGUUCUGGACUCAACACUAGAUUCCUUUUCUGUUAUAGACCUCUGUCUAAUAGUUCCUCACUAUUUUGCCUAUUUUUUAGCUUUUUUUGUAAUUGCAAGAAUAUUUUGAAUUUUUUUGUAGCCUUUUGAUUUGUUUUCCAGUUCCAACCCAGGGAAUGUUGAUCUAAGUUAUCUUUUUAUACCUUUAUAUUCACUAUUUUAUCAUUACAAUAAUGCCAUGAGGUAGAUAAUAUUGUUAUCCUCACAGUACAUCUUAGAAACUGAGAUAUAGAGUUAAUAAUUUGCCUUAGAUAACACAGCUAAUAAGAAUUAGAAAUGAAAUUUGAACCCAAGCAUUCUGGCUCAACAGUCUGAAUUCCUCAACAUUUGCUUUUUCUGAAUUAUUAGGCAAUUAAUCCCUCUGGCAAAACAGAAAUUGUUCUAUGUCUACUUGGGUUAGAGUUCUGGCAGAACAUAAACAUUAGAGGUUGUAGGUUAAAACAAAACAAGCCCCUGGGAUCCCACCAAGCAUGCUUUUGGUGGGCUAGGAAGAUAAAUUUUGUGACCAGGAUCUACUUUUCUAACAAAGGAGACUUUCAUUCUAUCAAUAAAUUUCCAUAUGCAUGAUAUGCUUGGAAGAUUCAAGCCAGCCUAGGGGCCCUCUUGGAAUAUAAAGAUACUAAUAGUAUGUCUUUUGACUGAAAGGCCCCAGUUUGGAUUGAACUGAUAUCUGUAUAGAUGGAGGGAUGAAGGAUACUAAUUGGGGAAGAAAGUGCUAGCCCCCUCAAGGAAAGACUGACAGUCUGAAUCACAGAAUUGAAAGGGCAUGACAAUUCCAUUUGGAUUUGACAUAAGUUCACAAAGGAAAUAGUUGUGUAGAUCAUGAAGAUUCCUGCAAGGUGAAGUAAGGUUUAUGGGAAGCAAGGACAAAAUUCAGAAAAUGGUGUUAAGAAAAUGGUGAGGGAGAGGGCUGAGGCCCAGCCAAGUUCUCUAAGAUUGUUCUCAAUGGGGAACUAAAGUGGAUAAAUGGAAAGUAGUGACCUACACAAAGUGCCAGUCAGCCAAACAAAACAUGCCAAAUGUCAAGUGAGUAGGAAAAUUUCAGCUCUUAAAAUUACGUAGGCUUUAAUAAUUCCAAAUUUAAUUUGAUUCUCAGAAUAUGGGAGGAGACUACAUGCACAGUUCUAAAGCCAUCACUGUUUUUGUUUUUAUGAUGUUUCCAGUUAUUUCUAGGCUCUCUAGUCUCUCUCGUAACUAAGAUAGACAUAUUCAAUUCUGUAUUUAUAUUCCUUUGCCAGUUUAUACUUCAUAGGUACAAUCCAUUACUGUUAUAACUGGUCUAUAAAUGUCUUGUUUUCUUCUAACUCUUAGAACAGUGAUAAAAAUUCAUUGGCAUGCAUGUAGUCCGUGUUACAGCCUAGAUGGAACAAGCACAUAUGCUCAUGUGUCAUUUCUGACUCAGUGGUAUCUCUACAAACUCUCAAACUUCUUGUAGAAAUUUUUUAUGUUGGCCUACCAGGGAGAUCUGUUACAGUAAUGAAGGAACUACUUAACUGCUCCCCUUGAGCCCUGAAGAAGUUAAUAAACAAAAACAUCACUGAAGUCUUAGUAAUUUUGUGUGUUAUACUCCCUGAUGCAUUUAUAACUGACCAGAAAAGCUGGCAGAUUUGUAAAGAGAUUCCUCCUCUGCUCAUGAGAUAUAGGAAUGCCUACAACCAGGUCUAUGGUAUUAUGUAGAUCAAUAACUGUCUUAUGAGGAGUAGCUAGCCAGGGGCUUUUUCUUCUACUUCUGUUAUGACUAGUAGAGAUAUGUCAUUUUGUGUCAUUGUUCCCUGGUGGUCACGUGAUAGAUAGUGUGGGAGAGUUGGCAUUUUAGUCAAAUAUCUGACCUCCCCUCUUUCUAUUGUAAACACUUUGGUUUUAGCUGGGCAAAAUACCCGCCAUGAGCUGCUUAAGUCAGGGAUUUAAUGUAAGAUAAUUCAACUUCUACCUUAUUUAAAAAACUGUCAUUGUGGUUUCUGAAAAACUGAAUUUAUAGCUUUACUAAUACAGAAUCAAACUAUUUUUUAACAGGGUGACAAAUUGCAACAUUGUAAAGGAAGGCUUAAUAGAAAAAAAAAAUAGUACAUAGUAAUAGAACUGCUUGCUGAGUUCCAAGACUUUUAGAACAAGGUGAGGGGGGAGGACUUUUCCUUCCAAUUCCUUCUUCAUAACAUUGGAUGGAGUCCUUUUGGUGGGUAUUUUGACAGCUUCCUUUUUGUUUUGUUUUCUUUUGUUUUGUUUUUGGAGACAGUCUCCCUCUAUUGCCCAGGCUGGAGUGCAGUGGCACAAUCUGGGCUCACUGCAACCUCCGACUCCUGGACUCAAGUGAUUCUCAUGCCCCAACCUCCCAAGUAGCUGAGAUUACAGGCGUGCGCCACCACGCUGGCUAAUUUUUAUUUCAUGAUAUUUUGUGGAGAUAGGGUUUUGCCAUGUUGGCCAGGCUGGUCUCUGAAUUUCUGGCCUUAAGUGAUCCGCCCGCCUCUGCCUCCUAAAGUGAGGGGAUUACAGGCAUGAGCCAUUGUGCCCAGUGGACAGCAUCUUUUGUUACUGCUCUUUUCCUAGAAAAUCUCCAGUGUGGGGUUGCUAGGUAAAUACAAAACAUGCAUUUAAAUUUGAACUUUGGAUAAUGAAUAAUGUUUACUUCAUGCAUAUUUAAAAGAUAUUUGUGAAAAAAUUUAUUGUUCAUCUGAAGUUCAAAUUCAACUGGGCAUCUUUUUUAAGUUUUUGUAUUAUUUAUUUAUUUUUUUAAAUGAUGUGCUAAGUUUGGCAACACACCUCCAGAGUUUUCUGUUUUUCUGACUACUUUCUUCAAACUUCACUUUAUAAAAUGUCAAAAAGCAGCACACCACAGGUCUUAAUUGAUCUCUCCAUUGCUGUUCCUACUUUAACAUCAUUCCAUUCACCUCACACACCAAUUUUAUCUCACUCAAUGAGAAAUCAACCCACUUUUAAACUAUUUAUUAUAUUUUCAGGAGUGUGUGUAAGGUUAACUUUAAAUGUAAAUAAGUUAGGGGCCUUUCACUAUAUUUUUACAUUUGUUGCGCACUUUAGUUCUAUUAUUAUUAUAUUGUAAUAUAUAAUGAAAUAAUUAUACAAUUCACCAUAAUUUAGAAUCAGUGGGAUGCCUGAGCUUCUUUUCCUGCAACUGGACAGUCCCAUCUUGGGGUAAUGGGAGACAGUGACAGAUCAUCAGGCAUCCAAUUCUCAUAAGCAGCAUGAAACCUUGCAUACACAGUUCACAAUAGGGUUCAAUCUCCUGUAAGAAUCUAAUGCAGCCAGUGAUCUGACAGGAGGCGGAACUCAGGAGGUAGUGUGAAGGAUGGGGAGCAGCUGUAAAUACAGAUGAAGCAGGCUGGUCCCCAUGGUUCACACCUGUAAUCCCAGCAUUUGGGAGGCUGAGGUGAGCAGAUCACUUGAGGUCUGGAGUUUGAGACCAACAUGGCAAAACUCUGUCUCUACUCAAAAUACAAAAAUUAACCGAGCAUGGUGGUGCACCCUAGUAAUCCUAGCUACUAGGGAGGCUGAGACAGGAAAAUUGCUUGAACUUUAAAGGCGGAGGUUGCAGUGAGCCCAGAUCGUGACACUGCACUCCAGCCUGGGUGACAGAGCAAGACUCUGUCUCCAUGGCCCAGGGACUGGGGGCCCUUGCUGUAUAGGAUGUGUGAAAACUCUGUGCACACAAUCCAGGUGUGUAGCAGUGGUGUAUGAUCAGGAACAAGGUACUGAAAUUAGUCCCUUGUCUAAUCCAAGCUGUAGCUAUGGCUUAAGGAAGUGUGAGGGUAAGUUAGCAUCUGGUGGUCAGUGAGCUGCAAUUGUCUCGAUUUUGCUUAUUUUGGGGCCAGUGUUUGUUCAGUUGCUAGAGAAAAAGAAAGAAAAAAAAACCUUGUUGCAGUUAGAAUAUAGUCUAACCUUUAGGUGUUGGGGAUGGUACAUGACUUAUCCCUUUCCUGGCAUGCCUUUAGGUCUUGUUUAUAAUUUGGUAUCUUGUUGCUACAAAAAGUCCUUUUCCAUCACUCUUAUGAUCUCUACUUUAAUACUAUCAUCAAAACUGAUUACACAAGUUCAUCUGUUAAUGUUCAUUUUUAUUGAGAUUUUAUAUAUUUACACUUCAAAAAUUUCUUUUCACACAUAUGGAAACAUAUAUGAAUUUUAAAAUAUGCAUCUUCAUGAAAGUCCAAAUAACACUAUUUGGACUAUAGUUUGAGUUCAGAAAUUAUAUCUGCUGAAAAUUUGGGUGGGAGUAAAUAUCUUCCUUCUUAGUUUAACUUUAUUUUCAAGUGUUUGUCUUUAUUUUGUUUAUAAUUGGCAUGUAAUCGUUGUCUAUGCUUAUGCAAUACAGUGUGAUGUUUCAACAUGUGUGCAUUGUAUAAUGAUAAACUCAGUGUUGUUAGCAUGCCCAUCCCACCAAACCUUUGUCAUUUUUUGUGAAGAUAACUUUCAAGAUUGUUAUUUACAGCUGCCUGAAAAUAUACAAACAUAUUUAUUAGUUAUUGCCAUCCCACUAUGUAAGAGAGCACCAAAACUUAUUCUUUCUUUCUGACUGGAACUUUGUACCAAUUGAGCAAAUGUUUCCAUCUUCCAUUCUCCACUCCCAUCCCCAGCCUCUGGUAAACAGUAUGCUACUCUUUACUUCUGUGAGAUCAACUUUUCUAAAUUACACCUAUAAGUGAAAUCACUGUAGUUUUCUUUCUGUGCCUCGCUUAUUUUCCUUAAUAUUGUGUCCUUUAGGUUGAUCCCUUCUGCCAUUAAUGACAGGAUUUUUCCAUUUUUAUAGCAGAAUAGCAUACCACUGUGUAUGUAUACCACAUUUUCUUUGUUAAUUCAUCUGCUAAAGGACACUUAGGUUGAUUCCUUUUAUUGGCAAUUGUGAAUGAUGCUUUAUAAACACAGGAGUGCAGAUAUGUUUUCAACAUACUGAUUUAAAUAUCUUUCCAUAUAAACCCAGUGGUGAAAUUACUAGGUUAUGUGGUGGUUUAAUUUAAUAUUUUGAGGAAUCUCCGCAGUGUUUUCCAUAAUGGCCAGGCUAGUCUACAAUCCUAGCAGUAGUGUACAAUAGUUUCCUUUCUUCGUGUCCUUGACAGCAUUUGAUAUUUUACUUUCUUCUUGAUAGUAGCCAUUCUAACAAAAGUGAGGAGAUAUCUCAUUGUGGUUUUGAUUUGCAUUUCCCCAGUGAUUAGUGAUAUUGUGAAUUUGUGAAUUUCUUAUAUGCCUGCUGGCCCUUUGUAUGUCUUCUUUUAAGAUAUGUCUUUUCAGACCUUUUGUCCAUUUAUUAAUCAGAUUAUUUGGGGGGGGUGUUUUUCUAUUGCAUGAUUUGAGUUCGUUAUAUAUCAUGAAUAUUAGCCUAUUAUCAGAUGGAUGGUUUGCAAAUAUUUUCUUCCAUUCUGUAAGUUGCCUCUUUGCUCUGUUCAUUGUAUCUUUUCUUGUACAGAAGCUUUUUAGUUCAGUGUAAUCCCAUCUGUCUAUUUUUGUUUUAUUGACUGUGCUUUUCAUGUACCACCAAAAAAAAUUAUUGAUCAGACUAAUGUUAUGAACUGUUUUCCUUGUGGUUUUUUCUGAUAGUUUUAUAGUUUUGAGUAUUAUACUUAAGUCUAUAAUCUAUUUUGAAAUGAUGUUUGUAUGCAGUUAAAGAUAAGGGUCUAGUUUCAUUCUUCUUCAUAUGGAUAUCCAGUUUUUCCAGCACCAUAUAUUGAAGAGACUAUCUUUUCUUCCAUGUGUGUUUUUGGCAGCUUUGUCAAAAAAUAUGUGACCAUAAGUGUGUAGAAUUAAUUUUGGGUUCUCAAUUUUGUCGCAUUGAUCUUUGUUUUUAUUUUUAUACAAGUACCAUGCCGUUUUGGUUAUUAUUGCUUUAUACAGUAUUUGGAAGUCAGGUAAGGUGAUGCCUCCAGCUUUGCUCCUUUUUUAUUUGUUUUAUUUUUUAUUCUGAUAUGUAUUUAAAUACAAGGUAAAAUAUUACAAUCAUACUAACAGAAAUAUGAGAAUUUUUAGUGAAACAAGAUGAGUGAUUCUAGAGCAUUUAUUUUCAGUAAAUUUUAACUCAAUUUUAUACUAUAUAUACUAUGCUAUUUGUACUAGAAGUAUUUGUAAUUUUAGUUAAUAUUGAUAAUUUAUUUUGGUGAAGAGAAAUUUCAUGAACCUAUCUAUUCUGACACCUCUCUAUCAUGACAAAGAGAUAUAUAAAUAAUUUAAAAAAUUAACUCCUUUUCAAUUGCAACAAAAACAAAAAUUGACAAAUGAAGUCUAAUCAAUCUAAAGAGCUUCUGCAUAGCAAAAAAACCUAUCAACCAAGUAAACAGACAACCUAAAGAAUGAAAUAAAUUUUUUGGAAACUAUGCAUCUGAAAAAGAUCUAAUAUCCAGCAUCUAUAAGAAACUUAAAAAAAAUCUACUAGAUUAAAACAAACAAUCCCAUUAAAAAGUGGGCAAAUGACAUGAACAGACACUUUUCAAAAGAAGGCAUACCUGUGGCCAAUGAGCAUAUUAAAAAAGCUUAAUAUCACUGAUCAUAAGAGAAAUGCAAAUUAAAACCACAGUGAGAUACCAUCUCACACCAGUUAGAAUUGUUAUUAUUAACAACAAAACAUAGCAGGUAUUGGCAAGGUUUUGGAGAAAAAGGAACACUUAUACACUGUUUGUGGGUGUGUUAACUAGUUCAACCAUUGUGAAAGGCAGUGUGGUGAUUGCUCAAAGACCUAAAAACAGAAAUACCAUUCAACCCAGCAAUCCCAUGACUGGGUAUAUAUUCAAAGUAAUAUAAAUUUUUCUGCCAUAAAACAUAUGAAUGCUUAUGUUCACUGCAGCACUAUUCACAAUAGCAAACUCAUGAAAUCAACCUAAAUGUCCAUCAAUGGUAGAAAGGAUGAAGAAAAUAUGUUAAAUAUACACCAUGGAAUACUAUGCAGCCAGAAAAAAGAAUGAGAUCAUGUCCUUUGUAUGAACAGCAAUGGAGCUGGAAGCCAUUAUCCUUAGCAAACUAACACAGGAAUAGUAAACCAAUACUGCAUGUUCUCACUUAUAAUUGGGGGCUAAAUGAUGAGAACACAUGGACACAUAGAGGGGAACAACAGACAGUGGAAGGGAGGAGGGGGAGAGGAUCAGGAAAAAUAACUAAUGGACACUAGACUUAACAUGUGGGUGAUGGAACAAUUUGUAAAACAAACCCCCAUGACAUGAGAUUACCUGUAUAACAAACCUGCACAGGUACCCCUGAACGUAAAAUGAAAGUUAAAAAAACUUCCUUUUAAAAAUUUUAUUUUAGUUUCAGUGAGUACAGGUGAAAGUUUGUUACCUGGGCAAAUUGCACGUCAGGCUUUGAUGUACAAAUUGUUCACCCAACUAUUGAGUAUAGUACCUGAUAUGCAUUUUUUUAAUCCUCAUCCUCCUUCCACCCCUCACCCUCACGUAAACUAUGGUGUCUAUUGUUUCCUUUUUUGUGUACACGUGUAUUCAAUAUUUAGUUCCCAUUUAUAUGCAGUGUUAGGUUUUCUGUUUCUGUGUUAAUUUGUUUAAGAUAAUAACCUCCAGUUGUAUCCAUUUCACUGAAAAUAAGGUUAUUUCAUUUUCUAAAAAAAUUACUUCCAACCAUGGUGAUGGGAUUAUUUUGUUUUUCUUUAUGCCUGCAUAGUAUUCCAUGGUGUAUAAGUACAACAUUUUCUUUAUCUAGUACACCAUUGAUAGGCAUUUAGGUUGAUUCCAUGUCUUUGCUAUUGCAAAUAGUGCUCUAUUUUUUGGAAUAGUUUCAGUGGCAAUGGUACCAGGUCUUCUUUAUAUUUUGGUAGAAUUCGGAUGUGAAUCCAUCUGCAGGAAAGUCUGGUCCAGGGCUCUUUCUGGUUGGUAGGUUUUUCAUUAUUGAUUUAUUACUGAUGUUCAUUAUUGAUCAUAUUUCUCAUUUGUUUAUGAAGAUUAGUUUGGCCGGAUAUAAAAUUCUUGGUUGAAAUUAUCUUUAAGAAUGAUGAAUAUGGGCUCCAAUCUCUUCUGACUUGUACAGAUUCUCCUGAAGAAUUUGCAAGUUUCUUGAUGGGGUUUUCUUUUGUGAGCAACCUGUCCCUUCUCUGCAGCUCUUUUAUAUAUAUAUAUAUUUCAUUGACCUUGGGGAAUCUGAUUUCUAUGUGUCUUGGAAAUGGUCAUCUUGCAGGGGUUCUUUGUAUUUUCUCAAUUUGAAUGUGAACUUUUCUAGUAUGCUUCAGAAAAUUUUCAUAGACAAUAUGCUUAAAUAUGUUUUCCAAGUUGCUUUUUGUCUCUGUGUCUCUUUCAGGAAUGCCAAUUCUUUGUAGGUCUGGUCUCUACAUAAUUCUAUAUUUCUUGGAGGUAUUGUUUAUUUUAAAAAGAAUUAAAAUUUCUUUCUGAUAGAGUUGAUUUGAAGAACUGGCCUUAAAAUCUUAUUCUAUUUUGCUCAUCUUAGUCUGUCUUCCUGUUAAUAAUUUCUGAUUGUAUUACAGAAUUCUUGUAGUGAGUAUUUCAGCUCUUAUGAUCAGUUUUGUUCUUUCUUAAAAUGGCUAUUUUGUCUUUCAGUUGUUGAAUCAUUUUUGGAUUCCUUAUAUUCCUUGGAUUUUGUUUUGACUUUCUCCUGAAUUUCUGUGAUCUUUGUUUCCAUCCAGAUUCUAAAUUCUGUUUGUCGUUUCAGCCAUUUUGGUCUGGUUAAAAACCAUUGCUAGGGAGCUAGUGCAGUUGUUUGGGGAUAAGAAGACAUUCUGGCUUUUAGAGUUUCAGAGUUCUUGCACUGGUUGUUUUGUAUGUGUGUGGGCUGAUGUUCAUUUAAUCUUUGAAGUCGCUCUUCUUUGUAUGGUGCUUUUUGCUUGUAUUUUCUUUGGUGUCCUUGAAGGUUUGACUGGUAUAAGUUGGGUUUAGUUGAUGGCCUUCAUUUCUAGAUGAUUCAGGGGGCCAACAUUCAGCUCUGCACUACUGGGCUGUGUAAUUUAACCAUGGGUAGAUGGUACCAGGCCUGUGAUUUUGUUCUCUGUCUCCUCCAGGUUAAGCACCUGCUGUGCUGGAUGGGCCAAGGUGCUCCCUGUCUGGUGGCAACAAUACUCCAAUGGGAGUGCUGGCGAAAGUGAUUCAUUUGAGUAGUGGCAGUGGGUUCCAUGCAUGCAUGCAUGCUUGUGUCAGCAGGAUCGGUGUGCAAGUGUGUAUCCAAGCAGUGGCAUGGCAUUGACAUGGUCGGGUCUGCAAGUGCACACAGUCUCCACUGGCAGAGUGCAGUGGGGUCUGCACAUGUGUGCACACCACCAGCAGCAGCAUGGCAGUGUUCACAUGUGCAUGUGCCAGCACAUCUGUAGGGGAGACUGUGGGUGAGUGCACAUCAGCAGAAGCUGCGGGUGGUGCUUAUCAGCAGAAGCUCUCUGAUGGUUAAGCAAGAUCUGUCAGUGUAGGAGCUAUGAAGUUGGCUGCUGGGAAAUGCCUCAGUUGGGCAUCUGAGUCUGUGCUACAAGCAACUAUAGCCAGGCAGGGACCCUGGGAAAGGCUGGUAGAUAGGGGGAUGCUCAGAUCACACUGGCCGCAUCCUACAGGCAACAUAACCCUAUUCUGUACAGGACUGAUAGUCAACAAAAUCCAAAUCCACCUACAUGAACAUGUUAUGCCUCAGGGAAUGGGCAUCCAUGAUGGUGCUCCACUGCAGCCAUUCUGGCACCAAAACCUCUGAGUCCCAUGCAGGCUGGAGCCCUGUCCCUGCCAACUCCCCAAGAAGCUCUUUCUGCUAGCUCAAAUGCCUGUUAGGGACAUGGGGUUUUCUGCAGCUAUGAUUCUGGAGGUUUGUGGACUCCUUCUUUACACCAAAUGCAAAAAUUAAAUCAAGAUGGAUUAAAGAUGUAAAUGUAAAACCAAAAACUAUAAAAAUCCUGGAAGACAACCUAUACAAUACUGUUCUCCACAUAGGAAUCAGCAAAGAUUUUAUGAUGAUGCCAAAAGCAAUUGCAACAAAAGCAAAAAUCAGCAGAGUAAACAAACAGCCUAUGGAAAGGAAAAUAAAUUUUGCAAUCUAUGCAUCUGACAAAGUCUAAUAUGAAGCAUCUAUAAGGAGCUUAAACAAAACUACAAGAAAAAAAAACAGACCUAUUAAAAAGUGGGCAAAAGACAUAAACAGGCACUUUUCUUCUUUUCUUUAAAUAGCUACCUUUAUUUGUAAAGUUCAUUUUUAAAAAUUUUGUAUUUCAAUAGUUUUGGCGGUACAGGUGGUUUCUGGUUACAUGUAUGUGUUCUUUAGCAGUGAUUUAGAGAUUCUGGUGCACCAUCACUAAAGCAGUAUACACUGUACUCAAUAGGUAGUCUUUUAUUCAUCACCCCAAUCCUACCUUUCCCCUUGUGUCCACAAAGCCAAUUAUAUCAUUCUUAUGCCUUUGCAUCCUCAUAGCUUAGCUCCCACUUAUAAGUAAGAACAUACAUCAUUUGGCUUUCUAUUUCUGAGUUACUUCACUUAGAAUAAUGGCCUCCGGAACUCACCACAGCACAGAAAAGCAGCUAUGGCCAGACUGCCUUACUAGAUUCCUCCCCACUGGGCAGGGCAUCUCUGAAAGAAAGGCAACAGCCCCAGUCAGAGGCUUAUAGAUAAAAUUCCCAUCUCCCUGGGACAGAACACCUGGGGGAAGGGGAGGCUGUGGGCGCAGCUUCAGCAGACUUAAAUGUUCCUGCCAGACGGCUCUGCAGAGAGCAGCGUAUCCUGACAAGGAGGAUUCUCCCAGCACAGAACGGGAGCUCCACUAAGGGACAGACUGCUUCCUUAAGUGGGUCCCUGACCCCCGUGCCUCCCGACUGGGAGACAGCUCCCAGCAGGGGUCAGCAGACACCUUAUACAAGAGAGCUCCAGCUGGCAUCUGGCAGGUGCCUCUCUGAGACAAAGCUUCCAGAUGAAGGAGCAGGCAGCAGUCUUUGCUGUUCUGCAGCCUCUGCUGGUGAUACCCAGGCAAACAGGGUCUGGAGUGGACCUCCGGCAAACUACAGCAGACAUGCAGAAAAGGGGCCUGAUUGUUAGAAGAAAAACUAAAAAACAAAAAGUAAUAACAUCAACAUCAAAGAAAAAGAAGGAACCCCAUUUAAAAAAACCCAUCCAGGCAUGGCUGGCAAUAUGGCUAAACAAGAACAGUUCUGAUCUGCAGCUCCCAGCAAGGUCAACACAAAAGGAGGGUGAUUUCUGCAUUUCCAACUGAGUUACCUGGCUCAUCUCAUUGGGACUGGUUAGACAGUGGAUGCAGCCCAUGGAGGGUGAGCAGAAACAGGGUGGGGCAUCACCUCACCCAGGAAGUGCAAGGGGUUGAGGAACUCCCUCCCCUAGCCAAGGGAAGCUGUAAGGGACUGUGCCAUGAAGAAUGGUGCAUUCCAACCCACAUACUAUGCUUUUCCCAUGGUCUUUGCAACCCACAGACCAGGAGAUUCCCUCGGUGCCUACACUACCAAGGCCCUGCAUUUCAAGCACAAAACUGGGCAUCUGUGUGGGCAGAAACUGAUCUAGCAGCAGGAGUUUCUUUUCGUAACCUAGUGACGCCUGGAAUGCCAGUGAGAUGGAACCAUUCACUUCCCUGGAAAGGGGGCUGAAGCCAGAGAGACAAGUGGCCUAGCUCAGUGGAUCCCACCCCCGGAAAGCCCAGCAAGCUAAGAUCCGUGAAAUUCUUGCUGCCAGCACAGCAGUAUGAAGUCAAUCUGGGAUGCUCCAGGUUGGUGGGGGGAGGGGUGUCCACUAUUACUAAGGCUUGAGUAGGCGGUUUUCCAAUCACAGCAUAAACAAAGCUGCCAGGAAGUUCAAACUGGGUGAAGCCCACCACAGCUUGGCAAAGCCACUGUAGCCAGACUGCCUCUAGAUUCCUCCAUUCUGGGCAGGGCAUCUUUGAAAGAAACACAGCAGCCCCAGUCAGGGGCUUAUAGAUAAAACUUUCAUUUCCCUGGGACAGAGAACCUGGGAAAGGGGUGGCUGUGGGCGCAACUUCAGCAGACAAAUGUUCCUGCCUGCCAGCUCUGAAGAGAGCAGCACAUCUCCCAGCACAGCACUCGAGCUCUGCUAGGGACAGACUGCCUCCUCAACUGGGUCCAUAACCCCCAUGCCUCCUGACUGUGAGGCACCUCUCAGAAGGAGUCAACAGACACCUCAUAUAGGAGAGCUCUGGCUGACAUCUGGAGGGUGCCCCUCUGGGAUGAAGCUUCCAGAGGAAGGAAAAGGCAGCAAUCUUUGCCAUUCUGCAGCCUCUGCUGGUGAUACUCAGGCAAACAUGGUCUGGAGUGGACCUACAGCAGUCUCCAGCAGACCUGCAGCAGAGGGGCCUGACUGUUAGAAGGAAAACUAACAAACAGAAAGGAAUAAUAUCAACAUCAACAAAAACAACCACACCAAAACCCCAUCCAAAGGUCACCAACAUCAAAGACCAAAGGUAGACAAAUCUAUAAAGAUAGAGAGAAACAAGCGAAAAAAGGCUGAAAAUUGCAAAAACUAGAAGGCCUCUUCUCCUCCAAAGGAUCACAAUUCCUUUUCAGCAAGGGAACAAAACUGAACAGAGAAUGAAUUUGACAAAUUGACAGAAGUAGGCUUCAGAAGGUGGAUAAUAACAAACUCCUCUGGGCUAAAGGAGCAUGUUCUAACCCAAUGCAAAAAAGCUAAGAAGCUUGAAAAAAAGGUUCGUUGAAUUGCUAACUAGGAUAACCAGUUUAGAGAACAUAAAUGACCUGAUGGAGCUGAAAAACAUAGCAUGAGAACUUCGUGAAGCAUACGCAAGUAUCAAUAGCUGAAUCAAUCAAGCAGAAGAAAGGACAUCGAGGUUGAAGAUCAUCAUAAUGAAAUAAAGCGUGAAGACAAGAUUAGAGAAAAAAGAAUAAAAAGAAACGAACAAAGUUUCCAAAGUAUAUGGGACCAUGUGAAAAGACCAAACCUAUGUUUGAUUGGUGUACCUGAAAGUGAUGGGGAGAAUGGAACCAAGUUGGAAAACACUCUUCAGGAUAUUAUCCAGGAGAACUUCCCCAACCUAGAAAGACAGGCCAACAUUCAAAUUCAGGAAAUGCAGAGAACACCACAAACAUACUCCUCGAGAAGAGGAACCCCAAGGCACAUAAUCGUCAGAUUCACCAAGGGUGAAAUGAAGGAAAAAAUUAUCAGGUCAGCCAGAGAGAAAGGUCGGGUUACCCACAAGGGAAUCCCAUCAGACUAACAGCAGAUCUCUGUUAGUCAGAAGAGUGGGGCCAAUAUUCAACAUUCUUAAAUAAGAGAAUUUUCAACCCAGAAUUUCAUAUCCAGCCAAACUAAUCUUCAUAAGUGAAGGAGAAAUAAAAUCCUUUACAGACAAGCAAAUUCUGAGAGAUUUUCUCACCACCAGGCCUGCCUUCCAAGAACUCCUGAAGGAAGCCCUAAACAUGAAAAGGAACAUCUGGAACCAGCCACUGCAAAAACAUACCAAAUUGUAAAGACCAUGGACACUAUGAAGAAAUUGCAUCAAUUAACGGACAAAACAGUGAGCAAGCAUCAUAAUGACAGGUUCAAAUUGACCCAUAACAAUAUUAACCUUAAAUGUAAAUGGGUUAAAUGCCCCAGUUAAAAGACACACACUGGCAAAUUGGAUAAAGAGUCAAAACCCAUUGGUGUGCUGUAUUCAGGAGACCCAUCUCACAUGCAAAGAAACACAUAGGCUCAAAAUAAAAGGAUGGAGGAAUAUUUACCAAGGAAAUGGAAAACAAAAAAAAAGCAAACAUUGCAAUCCUAGUCGCUGAAAAAAACAGACUUUAAACCAACAAAGAUCAAAAGAGACAAAGGAGGGCAUUACAUAAUGGUAAAGGGAUCAAUGCAACAAGAAGAGCUAACUAUCCUAAGUAUACAUGCACCCAAUACAGGAGCAACCAGAUUAUAAACCAAGUUCUUAGAGACCUACAAAGAAACUUAGACACCCACACAAUAAUAGUGGGAGACUUUAACACCCCAUUGUUAAUAUUGGACAGAUCAGUGAGACAAAAUUAACCAGGAUAUUCAAGACUUGAACUCUGCUCUAGACCAAGCAGGCCUAAUAGACAUCUACAGAACUCUCCACCCCAAAUCAACAGAAUAUACAUUCUUCUCAGCACCACAUCACACUUAUUCUAAAAUUGACCAAAUAAUUGAAAGUAAAACACUCCUCAGGAAAUGCAAAACAAUGGAAAUCAUAUCAAACAGUCUCUCAGACAACAGGGUAAUCAAAUUAGAACUCAGGAUUAAGAAACUCACUCGAAACCCCACAACUUGGAAACUGAACAACCUGCUUCUGAAUGACUACUGGGUAAAUAAUGAAAUAAAGACAGAAAUAAAUAAGUUAUUUGAAACCAAUAAGAACAAAAACACAAUGUGGCAGAAUCUGUGGGACACAGCUACAGCCAUGUUUAGAGGGAAAAUUAUAGCACUAAAUGCCCACAAGAGAAAGUGGGAAAGAUCUAAAAUUGAAAACCUAACAUCACAAUUAAACGAUCUAGAGAAGCAAGAACAAACAAAUUCCAAAGCUAUCAGAAGACAAGAAAUAACUAAGAUCAGAGCAAAACUGAAAGAGAUAGAGACAUGAAGAACCCUUUGAAAAAUCAAUGAAUCCAGGAGCUGUUUUUUUUAAAGAUCAACAAAAUAGAUAAUCUGCUAGCCAGACUAACAAACAAGAAGAGAAAGAAGAAUCAAAUAGGUGCAAUAAAAAAUGCUAUAGGGGAUAAACUACUGAUCCCACAGAAAUAAAAACUUCCAUCAGAGAAUACUAUAAACACCUCUAUGCAAAUAUACUAGAAAAUCUAGAAGAAAUGGAUAAAUUCCUGGACACAUAAACCCUACUAAGUCUAAACCAGAAAGAAGUCGAAUCCCUGAAAAGACCAAUAACAAGUUCUGAAAUUGAUGCAGUAAUUAAUAGCCUAACAACCAAAAAGAGUCCAGGAUCAGAUGGAUUCACAGCCGAAUUCUACCACAGGUGAAAAGAGGAGCUGGUAGCAUUCCUUCUGAAACUAUUCCAAACAAUAGAAAAAAAGGGAAUCCUCCUUAACUCAUUUUAAGAGGUCAGCAUCAUCCUGAUACCAAAACCUGGCAGAAACAAAACCAAAAAAGAAAUUUCAGGCCAAUAUCCCUGAGGAAUAUGUGAAAAUUCUCAAUAAAAUACUAGCAAGCCAAAUCCAGCAGCACAUCAAAAAGCUUAUCGACCAUGAUCAAUUCGGCUUCAUCCCUGGGAUGCAAGGCUGGUACAACAUACCUGAAUCAAUUUUAAUGCAAUCCAUCACAUAAACUGAAUCAAUGACAAAAACCAGAUUAUCUCAAUAAUACUGGGUAUAUAUACAGCAUUGCAUAAUAAAAAUCAUGCUUUGUUAUUAUUCAAUAACAAAGUAAGUCUUGUGGCACUGUGCCUUAAAAGUGUGGCAUUAAAAGUCCACUUAAUUCUUCCUUUCUUUUCUUGACAUGGUGAGUAUGCAGUAAAAAUAAUUGUGGGUUGGUGAUAUAUGGGACACUCAAAACACUUUUGAGUUGUGACUGCAUCACUGCAAUUUUUAGUGGGUUGAGCUGCAGUGCAAAGUGACAUUGGGUCAGUUUUGCAGCUACUCAAUACUGUCAGUGUGGCUGAAAACAGCUAUGCAUAAUAUAAAAACAAAUCCAUAUGGCUAGGUAUAAAAACUUUAUGAGGAAUGAAAUUUUUAUUUUAUAUACUUUUCAUAUUUUAUAAAAUAUUAUUUUAUUAAUCAUUAAAAAUGUAAAAGCCAUUCUUAGCUAAUGGGUAAUAUAAGAAUAUAUAGCAGGCCAUGCUUGACAUAUAGUUUGUAAUUUGCUAAUUUCUCUUUUAGAAAACUGUGAUAUACUAGUUUAGGUUAAUAAUUGUUGAGAAGAUUUACAGAGGCUCUGAGGGAAAAGAACAGAUAAUGCAUUGGAAGAAAUAAGGAUAAGUUACAUAUUAGACUCACUUUAAUACAAAUAAGAAAAGUUUUUUUUACCUUCUUUAUUAUGACAGAAAAACAGAAUGAUCAAACAGGCUUCCACUCAAGAGAUACUGUCCUGCAAGUGAGGCAUUUGAAUAGUAUAAAAUUAGAAGGAUGUGAAGGAAGAGGGGUAGUGUAUUAACAUAUCAAUUUUAAAAUACAGCCAUUUAAAGAAGAGUUUCUCUCUCUCUCUCCCUCCAUCCCUCUCUCUCUCUCUCUUAACAGCACCAGAGCAGGCCAUUUAUCUGUGUUCUUGUGGCACUUUAACUAUAUAAGGCCAUUCAGAAAAUGAUUCAUGCUUUUUUUAUCUUGUUUGUCUACCAUUCUGUACAAUGUGGUCUUCAUCUGUAUGAUCAAAGGCAAAUCACCACCAUAUUUGUAUUCCAGGCUGUAAGACAGGGAGAAGUAAAAGACCAGGACAAGUGACUUUAACUAAGUAAUACACAUCGCUUUCAUUCACAUCUCAUCAGCCAGGACAAAAUCAGAUGACCACACCUAGCUGCAUGGGAGGCAAUAAACUUGUCUCUAGUUAAGUGGUCAUAGGCGAGUGCUUCAAACGUGUUUUCCCUAUUACUGAAAGAGAGUGUUGUAGAUGAGAGACCGAAGAUACAGUCUCUUUUUACUUGAUAAAAGUGGUAAAUUUUCUUCAACAGAAUUUCUAUUUUACUUCUUAAUAAAUUUAUUAGAAGUGUUUUACAGAAAUUUUCAGAUCAUUUAUUUAUUUAAUGAGUCAAACACGCAUGAACAGGCACUCUUCCAAAUAAUCCAAAUAAAGUAUCUAGCUAGAUGACAUAUUUACUCACAUGGAGCUAACAUUCUAGAGAAGAACAUAUAGAAUAAACAAAGAUUCAAUUUAAUAAAAAUGUUAAGAACAAUGACAUUUAGAUAAGUUGGGUUAAUAAUCAGAUUACUGAGUAGCAAAAUUGUAAGUGGAAACAUGCAAAACUUUAAAGCUAGUUCUGGCUCUUGCACCAACAGGUAAUUUUCUGCAUUUGUUUUUUAAUAGAUUACAUCGUUAUCUUAAGUCAUCUGAACCUAUAGAGAUACAUACAGGGAACACCUGCUAGGAGUAAGGUUAGGCAAAGAAAUUCAGUUGUGUCUUUCUCAUGUUGAUCCAUCUGAUAAAAGAAUAGCUAGAAUAGAUAGAUAAAGAAUAGCAAUUUUUGCACUAUAAAUCUAAUAAUGUGGGCCAGGCAUGGUGGCUCACGCCUGUAAUCCCAGCUGUUUGGGAGGCGGAGGCGGGUGGAUCACCUGAGGUCGGGAGUUUGAGAACAGCCUGAUCAACAUGGAAAAACCCCAUUUCUACUAAAAAUACAAAAUUAGCCAGGCUUGGUGGUGCAUGCCUGUAAUCCCAGAUACUGGGGAGGCUGAGGUAGGAGAAUCGCUUGAACCCGGGAGGCGGAGUUUAUGGUGAGCCAAGAUCACGCCAUUGCACUCCAGCCUGGGCAACAAGAGCAAAGCUCCGUCUCAAAAAAAAAAAAAAAAAAAAAAAAAAAUCGAAUAGUGUGUCUUUUUUUUUUUUUUUUUUUUUUCUGUUAAGCAUGUGAACGUUGGAAUGCUGGAGAUGACCUUUGUACUAUUUGGUACUUGAGUCUUUUUAAUUAUCUUCUUUGCUUAUUCCAAGAAGAAGUUUAGAUAUUCCCUUAUUUGGGCUUCACAUAAUAUGUCUGCCUAAUUCUGCCAAUAUGUACCAAAGUGUAUUUUGCACUUUUAUGAAAAAUAGAGAAGGUUCAAUGAUGGCCUAAGACAUAGAGUGCUUUUGUGAUGUAGUUUUAAGUUAUAUAUGUCAUUUUACAAAAUACUAUGUGAAUUUCCAAACUUUGGAAGUAAAAUUUGUCUAGAUAUUGAAAUAUGAGUUUGGAGCCAAAGAAUGUUUUUUAAAUAAGAUUGUUAUCAUAGUGCUAUUGUGGCAGGCCAGGUCUCCAUUAGCAACCAGAACAGUCAGUUUCCACUAACCCUUUACUAUAGUUCUGAUGAAUGUAUAAGUUAAACAUUAAAGAAUUGGAGAAACUAGUGCUUUAGUACAAGGGCUGGGAUGUGAAAACAAAACCAUUAAGACCUUGCCUGGGUUUUCUCAGAACUUAAAGCCUGAUAAAAUAAUGAAGGCAUUCUUACACACACCUUGUUCCAGGGCCCAUUAAGAUUAACAAAUUUUUCCAAGGCUCUGAAUUAAACUUCCAGGCCCCAGACCCUAGUUAAAGAUUAGAUUGAGUGAAACACUCCUGUUUAUAGUUGCACACGUGCAUGCAGGCAUAUAGCUUGAAUGUAUUAAUGUAUAAGCAAGUGCUGAAAAAAAUCUUGUAACUUUGGGUUGGUCUGGUGAACUACCCUGACCUUCUCCUUAUGGCCAGUUACAGAAAUAAACUCUCUUCUUUCCCAGUCUGUCUGUAACUCGUUAAUUGGACCAUGAGACCAAGUAGCUGGACUCCAGUUUUUUCUGGGUAUACUAUGUUUGCUUGACUUUUGAUAUGCUGGGUUCUUUGAAUAUGCAAAUGUCUUUAUUUAAAAUCCAUUUUAAUUUCCCUGCUGAAGCCAUUGAAGGAAGGCCACAGAUUGGAUGAAUCAUGAAGACUAAUAUUUUACUUGAUUUAGGAGGAAUGCAGUUCAAAAUGACUAUUGCUUAGAGAUUCUGGUCACAAUAAAUAUAACCUUGACUGCAUUUAAAUGGAAAGUCUUUUAUACUUCUGAAAUGGCUAGUUUAGUGUCCUAAACUAAUGUGUGGACCAUUGUAAUUUACCAUGAAGACUUCAUAAAACAAAGGCCAUAGACAUUGAACAAACUGUGAGCUUUAUUUAGAUGGCAUUUAAAAAUUUAUUUUGACAUAUCCUUGCAAAAGUGAUUGGAACCAUAAUUGGAAGUUGGAUACAGCAAUAAUUGUGAGCAAUUUAUUGUGGCAUCUCCUUACAGAGAUAUAUAUUCUAUACAACUAAACUCCUUCAAAUACUUGAAGAACAUCUGUAAGGGAUCAAAAUAUGCCAGCUCAGUUCCCUUUCUACACAUUAAGUAGAAGCUAUCAAAAAAAUAAAUUAAGAAAACCAUAUCAUUUGUAAUGGCAUCAGUAAGAAUAAAAUAGAUAGGAAUAAAUUUAACCAAGGAGGUGAAACAUUAUGGCAUUCAACACUUUAAAUGUGUGAAUUGUAUGAUAUAUGAAUUGUAUCUCAAUAAAGCUGUUUAAAUAACAAUGUACUAUAUUCUUAAAAUUUGCUAUGACAGUAGAUUGAAAGUGUUCUCACCAAAAAAAAUAGUGCGUUUGUUAGGUAAUGCAUAUGUUAAUAAGCAUGAUCUAGCCAAUCCACAAUGUAAACAUAUUUUAAGACACCAUGUUAUACACCAUUAAUAUAUAUAAUUUUUGUCUACUAAAAUAAUUAUAAAUAAUUAAAAAACAGGAGAUAUUACAAUUGAUACUACAGAAUUACAAAAGUUCACACUAGUUGAGUAUGAACAAUUGUACACCAACAAAAAAGAUAACCUAGAAGAAAUAAAAAAAAAACUAAGAAACAUUCAACCUAAAAAGACUGAAUCAUGAAGAAAUAGAAAAUAUGAACAGACUAACAAUUAUUAAGGAGAUUGAAUCAAUAAUCAAAACUUUCCCAACAAAUAGAAUCCCAGGACCUGAUGGCUUCCCUGGUGAAUUAUACCAAACAUCUAAAGAAGAAUUAAAAUCUAUCUUCUCAAACACUUCCAAAAAAUUCAUUAGGAGAUAACACUUCCAAACUCAUUUUGCAAGGCCAGUAUUAGUCCAAAGCCUGACAAGGAUACUACAAGAAAAGAAAAUAUAGGUGAAUAUCCCUGAUGAACAAAACACAAAAAUUCUCAACAAAACGCUGGCCAACUGAAUUCAAAUGCAUAUUAAAAGGAUCAUACAACAUAAUCAAGUGGAAUUUAUUUCUGGGAUAAAUGGAUGGUUCAUUAUAUGCAAAACAAAUAAAUGUGAUACAUUACUUUAAAAGAAUCAAAAACAAUAACCAUAUGAUUAUCUUAAUAGAUGCAGUGAAAGCGUUUAAUAUAAUUCAACAUCUUUACAUGAUAAAAUCUCUCAAAAAACUAGAGUUAGUAGGAAGGUACCUCAACACAACAAAGGCCAUAUACCCCAAGUCAACAGCUAACCUCAUACUAAGUGGUAAAAUGCUGAAAGUUUCUCCUCUAAGAUCAGGAACAAGACAAGGAUUCUCACUGAUGCCAAUUCAAUUCAACGCAGUACUAAAAGUCUUAAUCAGAGUAGUUAGGCAAGAGAAAGAAACAAAGUCAUCCAAAUUGGAAACGAGUUAAAAUGUCUCUGUUUGCAGGUGACAUGAUCUUAUAUACAGAAAUCCCUAAAGACCCCACCAAAAACUGUUAAAACUAACAAAUUCCAUGAAGCUGCUGAACAAAAAAUCAGUUCUCUUUCUAUACACUAGAUAGAAACUAUUCAAAAAAGAAAUGAAGAAAAUCAUGAGAGUCGCUUCCAAGACGGCCGAAUAGGAACAGCUCUGGUCUACAGUUCCCAGUGAGAUCGACACAGAAGAUGGGUGAUUUCUGCAUUUCCAACUGAGUUACCUGGUUCAUCUCACUAGGAAUGGUUGGAGAGUGGGUGCAGCCCAUGGAAGGUGAGCCAAAGUGGGGGGUGGGGGAGUGUUGCCUCACCCAGGAAGUGCAAGGGGUCAGGGGAUUUCCCUUUCCUAGCCAAGGGAAGCCAUGAGUGACUGUACCUGGAGGAGCGGUACACUCCUUUCCAAAUGCUGUGCUUUUCCCAUGGUCUUCACAACCAACAGACCAGGAGAUUCCUGGAGACCUGCAGACCAGGAGACCUGCCUGGCUUGGUGGUUCCCACACCCACAGAGCCUUGCUCGCUGCUAGUGAAUCAAUCUGAGAUUAACCUGGGAUGCUGAAGUUUGGCAGGGGGAGGGGCG
rnacentral:lncRNA from 1 species